rnacentral:lncRNA from 1 species
UUGGGGGUCUGUGCUUUUCUUAGCUCUGCCUCCUUGUAGUAAGACUUAGGACAAAUGAGGGGGGUGACUUUGGGCCAUGGGAGUAGAGGGAAGUGCUCCAGCAGUGAGUGGAGGGGAGCACUCCGAAGCCCCAAUUGUACUGUAUUAGUCCUGUAUCUUGAUUGGUGUUUGUGAGAUUUUAUUGAGGCGCUCCUGUGAGUCCUGUGGUAGCUUUGGUAGAAGAUGAGAGAAGUGGUCAGCUCCUGCCUCCCAUGGCUACUUCGGUGGGUAUCUAAAGUUAGAAAGGGACCAGAGUAACUGCCCUUUUGGGGCAGAUAUGAUCAGAGAUGGAGACAGGGGGAGACUGACUGUCGGGGGUCACAUGGAUACGAGGGACAAAUAGGCCAAGAUCUAUGUCCCUGUCUAAUUGCGGGCAGAUAUAGGUAGGAUUUUGGGCCACAAAGGAAAAAGAGUCUUGAUCGGAAAGGCAAUGUUGUGAGAUAUAGUAAGAAAAGAUGUUGUAAAACUCCCUGGAAUUGACAGGUUUGGCUCAUUUUUCCAGACCAACCAGCCAGUGAUGCCAAGUUUAGGCUGAAGUGAGCUAGAGUUGUUGGAAGGUGAGAUUUCAAUACAAUCCUAUUGGAAGAGCUUAGAGGGCUCUGAGAUUGUGGGUGGUCCAGAGGAAAGGAGCGGCUGAGUGGACUUUGUGUCUGUCUUAGGUGAGGUGCCAUAAGUGACCUGAUGAGACAGUGUGGAGGGCUUUUGAGAGUAAUGCUUUGGUUACAUUGAGAGGGGUCUGAAGUACCGACCACAUCACACCCCCAAGACGCAGGGCUGGGGCAGGGGGCAGAGCUUAGGCUGGGAAAUGAGGUGAGGGAUAAAAGGAAGUUAGCUAGCUUUAAACUUAAAAUAGAGGUUAGGCUGCUGAGGGCAGUGGUGAGUUAAUAGUAAGUAUGGAAAUCUGGGUAGGUUUUGAAGGUAUAUCAUUUUCUAAAGGAUCAGAUGUGAGUAUGACAGAGAUAAGGGUGAUGCCGAGAUUCUUGGUCUGAGCAAUUGGAAGACUGGAUUUAUUUACAGAAAUA